GAAAAGCGACAAGUGCUCUUAACCAUCCAGCCAUCUCUCUAGCCCCACGGCGACAAUCAUUUUAAAUGUUUGUUAGAAUGAGUGUUCUCUUAUAUGCUCACUGGUAUGAGUCCACUCUGCUUUGGGGAGCACUAUUCUGGACUAAUUAUGUUGAAUUUUUAGUUCUUUGAUUAUACUACUCUGCUCUGGAAAGAUAAAAACCAAAGGUAUCAGUUAUAAAUUAUUUUUCAUAUGAAUAUUAGUUUUAAGAAAAAUAUCGAUUGAAUUUGAUUAUGUUGCAGUAGUUAUAUUGUUUCAGUGAUUGAGGUCAUUAGUUAAGCAUUAGAGUGGUUCACUCUUUACUUCCAGUAACUAUGGAGAGCACCCAGGAUAAAAAGAAAAGGGACAUUUUCACCCACAACCUCUGACUGUCCUUCUUCAUUCACUGUUUCAAGGAUCCCCAAAGCAAUGUGAUUUUUCAGUGGAUCAAUGUGACCACUUUCAGAAACAUUACCCAGCUCUCCUUCCAACUGACGCCGGAACCAAUAUUGGGGGAUUACACAAUCGUCAUAAAAACACAAUCGGGAACGACAGUGAUGGAUCAUUUCACUGUUAACCGAGACGGUAACCAAGUGCUGUUCCUGAUUCUCCUACACACAAGUUCAAAGCAACAGAACGCAAUGGUUUAGACGCAGGCCCAGGAACUGAGCUCAGGCUCAGUCUCUGCUGUUUGCCCUUCUGUUCUAUCCUUGGUCCUCUCUAUGCCUCAUUCUGGGGCCCAGGUCUUACUCUGGUCCUUGCCCACUCCUCCCCUCACCUAAGAAAUAGUUCUCGUUCUCUGAAAUUCAGGUACUCUCCUAGAAAGGACCUAAGAAAUUAAAACAUAACAAUGGGUGAUAUUUUUUUUUGGUUAAAUAAAUAAGUAUGCCAACUACCACCACCAUCAACACCACCACCAUCAACAACAAAAGAAACAGAACACACUGACCUUUAAUGAGACACCUUCACAGACCCCAGGGCGCUCGCUGGCUGGGGACGUGGGAGGCAAACAGCUUGCAUGGAAACAGUUUGCUAUAGUUGCUAUAGCAUUGCUCUCCAGCUUUGUUAGCUGAAGUGUGGUUUGUUUUGUUUUGUUUUUUUCAGUUUUGCCCAAAUUUGAAGUCGAGCUCACUGCACCAGAGACAAUAACCAUUGCGGACAGUCAAUUUCAAAUGGUUACAUGUGCAAAGUAAGUGUUGAUUCAUUUAUCCUCACAGGGUAAAUCGCCUUAAACUUAACUAUAAAACUUCAUUUAUUUAUUUUAGAAAUUUUCAAUAUUUGAAAACUAUAAAGGAAAACAUAGAAACGAAACUCCAGUGUAUUCUACCAAUCACUAACACAUUAUAGCUGACUUCCCCCUCCUACUUUGUGAAAAUUUUUCUCUGGUUUUAUUUAUUCUUUUCUACACAUUCUCCAAUAUUUAAAAACACAUGUCUUCAUAUUUUUUUAGCCUUUCUAUCAAUUCUAAUUCCUUACCUUGAAAGUAUGUCUUAUAGGAAAAUAGCAAUUUUACUUAUUGUUCUACUAUAUAACAUGUAAUCUAUUACAUUGUGUUUCUCGUAAUUAGUACAUUUGUAGCAGAUAUCUUCCGUAAAACUGUAUAGUAGCCUGAUUUAGAACUGGACUGCUUACUUAAGAAACAUUUCCCUUAAGGGAAUUACCAAGUCAAAACAUAGAAUGUUCUUUUAGUCUUUUAAAUUCCACAUUGCUCUCCUAACUCCAGAAACUGUUGUGAAAGGACUGGCUUCAUUGACUCUUUACCAUCCUUGAGUGUUCUCACUUAAAAAAAAAAAAGAAGAAAAAAGAGAAAAGAGCUAUCAAAACUUCAUGGAAAUAAAGAAGUUUAUAAUUUAGAUUGAAUUUAUUUGAGUCCCUUAAUAUAAAAACAUCCAAUCUGAUCUUAGGAACACUUAGCUUCUAUUUGGGAGAUUAUUUUUGAUGCCCUUUAUCCUUCUGUGAUAUCUCUCCUAGAAUGUGUAACAAUUUUUAAAAGAUGAUAUUUAUUAGGUGACAGCUACAAAAAAUUAUUCCCACGAUGUCAUGAGAUAUUAGCUAUUAUCAUCUCAGUUUUACAGAGAAAGAUCAGCUGUAAGUACUGGGAUAACAUCAGGCUUGUGGGUCUUUGGUGCUGUUCUUUGAACAAACACCUAGUGAGAGUUGUUGGACGCUUUUAACAGAUAACAUAAAAACACUAACCUUUGAAUAUUUUUUAAUAUAUUGAAGCUGCAGUCUGUAAAGGGCUACCUAGUAAAAAUGUGACCGGAGUGGGGACUCUUCAUGAUCUCCCCCAGAGACUCUUGGGAUCAGUCUGUCUCUCUCAGGGAAGGAUCAGACAUUUCUCUGAGUUUCAGUGCAAAGCAGCUGAAUGUGAUUCGUAUAUGUGAGAUCAGAGAUAAUCUGUGCUAAAAAUGCUGGGAUAAAUAAUAUAAAGUUGAAGAAAUAAAUCCAAGAUCCUAAACUGGUUUCAUUAGAAAACCCUUCUAACAAACCAAGCACUUACAUUAUCAUUAAUACCCACAAUUUACUCAUCUGCCCAGUUAAAUGC
rnacentral:lncRNA from 1 species